CACCAUACACAAAUAAGAGGGACACAGAUUUCAGAGGUUUUCCAAAUUAGAGGAGAGAGAGGGUUCACUGUAUAUCUAUACCUUGUCUUACUCUUUGGCAUGUCUUUUCCCGAUUCCGUCAUUCUGGUGGAAAAGAACCUAUAUCGUUUUGUAGCAUCGUCCAUUGACCCCAAAUGGUCCUGACAUCCUGGGUGUAAAGCCUUAUUCUUCCUCCCUAUUAAUUCCAAACAACCCUUCUGUCGUUUCAACUCUUUCUUCUCCUUGCUGAUCUGCUUCAGCAAGCUGCGAGAAUUCACCAAUGUCUCCGUUUGAUACACAUGUUUAAAGGUUCUCCUUUCAGUUUGUUCGAUCCACAAGGUCUACCCACAGAAACUACACCAACAGUUUUCACCAUUUCUUCCUGUUUUUGUUUCGUACGAACCCGCGCCGUUAGUUCACUUGACACAAUAAUCACUUCUCGAUCGUUGCAAUAUUGGAUGUCUCGUCUUUCUUUUUCACUUAUAUUCCCGAAAAUCGACAAAAAAGGCCUAAGGUCCAAGCAUGUCUCGUCUUUCUUUUUCACUUUCCCUAUUUGAUUCCUGAAAAUCGACAAAAAAGGCAUAAGGUCCUUUCCUAACCACUUUUGCUGGACUCAUCAACGGCUUCAGAUACUUCUUUCCCAACCAAAUUGGUUCUUUUGUCUCGUUUCCUCACACCGUGUUAAUCUCAUCACUCCUAAUAAUUUCUGCACUGCCACUGGCUUUACCGUUUUGCCAGCUGAUUGUUCUAAAUACUUUUAGCGCCGCGUCAUAUGAAAUCGCAUGACGGUUUUGCUCACCGCUCAGCUGUGUAUCGAGCGGUAUCGAACAUCCCAACCUACAUCGUGACGUUGCAAGCGGUUUUUUUUUUUGUAUUGAAAAAUUUUUCUCUAUAGCGCGGUCAAAUCAUUCUCGAUAGCAGAACUAUAGAGACGGUUUUUGCAACCGUGCGACAGCGUUUAUCAUACAUUUGGUUUCUGUAUGCUACAUCCCUUCUCAAUUUCUUUCGUUCUCUCCAUUCUCUCUAUAAAGACUCUUACACUCAUUUGUCCAUUCUGCACAUGCUUAUGCUCUUUAUUUCACUUUCAUACUCACACAUACAAAUGUACAUACCCACACAAUUUACACUGCCGAAAACCGGGAUACACACGUAUCCGUCAUGCCUGCCUUCUCUCCUCGUUCUUCUUCAUUUCAUCCAGCGUUGUCUUCGUCGAAUGGUGUGCAUGGGUUAAAAAUUCUUCCUGCUUGCCUCCCCUCGCUGCUCCCACGUGCUGCGCUAGCGUGCUGGAUGAUCGUCCCUACCUUCCUGCCGCCUCUCCUCUACCAGGCGUUAGCACGUUGGAGGAUCGUUCCUGCCUUCCUGCCGCUUCUCUUUCGUCCGGCGCUAAAGCGUUGAAUGAUCGUUCCUGCCUCUCCUGUCCUUUUGUUUUUGGCACUGUUGGUGAAAGAGGGAAAUAUUAUCUAUUUUGAAAACCGCUGUUCCAUAAUACCAAGACGGAGAGAAAAUUUUUCUGAUUGUUAGAAUGAGAAAAAUGAUAGAUACACAUAAAAAUCGCGCGAUAAUGCCGGUUGGGAUGACGAGAACGACAUGUGCUACGUCGCUUAUCGCAAUGAAACAAAAGAGAAAUAACAAUCGCACGAGAACCUGUCGCUCCCAUCGCUCUCUUGCCAUGCGCUACGUGCUCACUCAAAAACUGCCCAACCAGCAUUAUCGCGCGAUUUUUAUGUGUAUCUAUCAUUUUUCUCAUUCUAACAUUCACAAAAUUUUUCAUUCUGCCUCGCUCUUCUGGGUGUUGGUCUGUAUUUGCUUGCGACUUGGCUGUGUCGCAUCAACGAUUCGCAUGUUUCAUUUAGCUCAUCCCUUUCCAUCGUUGGAGAGAAACUCUUGCGUCUCGCUUUUCUGGGACUUGUCCAAAUUCGCUUGCUACACCAAUCGUUCACGCAAGCGUUCUCCUCUCGCCCGCUCUUUGUAUCAUUGUACAGGUACUCCCCGAUAUACGCUAUCAAUGCGUACCGGAGGCAAUAGCGUAUCUCGAAUAUUCAAUAGCGAAAGUCGAAUUUCGAGGUUUUCAGUCAAAUUAUAACUAAUAUCCGUAUAACUUUGCAUGAAGUGGUAGGUUUUAGCCACUAAAUUAGUUAUUUGAUCUAAUUUCAACUUAAUUUUUCAAUUUUAUACCAUUUGAAAUGGUUUUUAAUAUUCAACCAAAAGGGAAUUUAUUUUGCAUUUGACAUUCGAUUUCUAAAAUUAGUACUACUUGUUCAAAGAACCGUCAAAUUUAGAAAAAAAGCGUAUAGCGAAAUCGUGUAUAUCGAGUAUGGCGUAUAUCGGGGAAUACCUGUAUAGCCACACGAGGAAGGCGCUGCUUCGCGUUCACAUGAAAAUGUGGUAGUGUGAAAUCAAGUUUGCAAGCGGUAGGACGCGUCGGUGUGUGUCCGUUUUUUCUCUCGUGAAACCAGUACGGAAAAACUAUUUGAAAUCGUAACACACGCACGAACGGAAGUGAGCACGGACCACAACAGAAGCAAUAUUCAAUUGGUUGGAGUGCCGAAAACAGAACAGGAGAGGAAAGAAGGCAGGAACGAUCCGAUCCUCCAACGUGCUAGCGCCUGGUAGAGGAGAAGCGGCAGGAAGGUAGAGACGAACAUCCAGCUCGCUAGUGCAGCACGUGGGAGCAGCAAGAGGGAAGCAAGCAGGACGCGUACACACCAUUCGACGACGGCAAAGCUGGAGGAAAGGAAGAACGAGGAGAGAAGGCAGGCAAGACGGGUACGUGUGUAUCCCGCACCGGUUUUAGGCAGUGUGAAUUGUGUGAGUAUGUAAAUAUGUAUGUGCGAGUAAGAAGGUAAAAUAAAGAGCGUAAGCAUGUGCAGAAUGGACAAAAGAGAGUAAAAGUCUUUGUAGGGAGAAUGGAGAGAAUGAAAGAAAUUGAACAAUAAUGUAGUAUACAGAAACUAGAUGUAUGAUACACGCUGUCGCACCGUUGCAGAGACGUGCUCUUUAGUGCUGCUAAUGAGCACGAUUUGAGAACGUUUUGAGCCCGUUUUUUCUCAUACAAAAUUUUAAAAUGUCGCGCGAUAAUGUCGGUUGGGUGUGACGUCAGGCCGGUGGUCAAAGUGUUAACGCACUAUCAAAGUGAGGCGAGAUUACCGGUUUAUUCGUUUGCCUAUUCGUUGUUCAUUCGGUACCUGUUACACAAGCUUGACCACCCAUCACGCUGUAGCUGUUUUUGUCAUAAUUUCUGCCGAAAAGCCCCUCGCCACCACAUCUAAAACACUUCACCGGAGUACGUUCGUUUGUAUUCGGGACAAAAAGUCGACUUUUCGUGGAACAAUCUUGAGCUGAGCUCGGUGUCCCUACUUGCCGCAACUGUAACACUUGCGCACACCUCUUUCUAACCUUGACUCUCGCUGCACACUGUUCUUCUUUAUAACACUUUUUUUCUCCGCUCUUUCCAUCAGCAAAAGUUUUUCUUUUAACUCGACUAUACUGCGUGUUCGGUAAAGUGACGCACGCACCUUUGCAUCGUAAGACACACCAUCCACGAUGCACUCGAUAACGCUACCAUCAUCGAUUUCCGUGUCACGAGCUGCAUUUCGUACACGUAUUCUAACAUUGCCUCUUACGGACGUUUUACUCGUGCCAUAAGCCGCCUAUGCACAUCACUUGACCGCAUUAUUUUUCCCAAUUCUUUAAUCAACUUGGAUCUCACAGCUGCAUACGAUGUUACGUUUUUCUCCGUGGAGAGAAAACUCCGCGCAAAACCAACCGAUAAAGAUUUGUUCAUUUCUAGAAAUAGCAAACAAGCGACAAAUCGAGUUAUCAAACACGCGUUUACCAAAUAAUGACGUUAAUACCAAAUAUGCUUUUUUGAUACUUAUUCUCAACUAUCAUUUAAUUGCCCUUUAAGUCUGCCUGUAUCAAGCGAUUCAAGCAUACAUUUUCUCAAAUGUUGCAUGCUAAAUAAUAGCCAUGAAUUUCAAUAUUUACGUUUAAUCUAUGUUCAACAAAAAUAUAACUAUAAUAAAUAAAAAAGUCAUGAAUCAGCAUGUUUACAUUUGCUCCAUCCGCCAUUUAUUUGUUCUUAGGUAUAACGGCUUUUUUUUAUCCGUAUGUUUUCAAUGAAGCAAUAAUGUCUGUAUCAAUCAUGUUUUCAUGUAUG